UACACUGGUUCUCGUACGACCACCGAAAUUAAGCAAUAUUGAGCCUGGUCAGUACAUGGAUGGGUGAUCGCUUUGGAAUACCAGGUGU